rnacentral:rRNA from 1 species
UACGAAGGGAGCUAGCGUUGUUCGGAAUCACUGGGCGUAAAGCGCACGUAGGCGGAUUUGUCAGUCAGGGGUGAAAUCCCGGGGCUCAACCUCGGAACUGCCUUCGAUACUGCGGGUCUCGAGUCCGGGAGAGGUGAGUGGAAUUCCUAGUGUAGAGGUGAAAUUCGUAGAUAUUAGGAAGAACACCAGUGGCGAAGGCGGCUCACUGGCCCGGUACGUGACGCUGAGGCGCGAAAGCGUGGGGAGCAAACAGG